rnacentral:misc_RNA from 1 species
ACUCCGUUGGUGAACCAGCGGAGGGAUCAUUACCGAGUUUACAACUCCCAAACCCCUGUGAACAUACCAUUUGUUGCCUCGGCGGUGCCUGCUUCGGCAGCCCGCCAGAGGACCCAAACCCUUGAUUUUAUACAGUAUCUUCUGAGUAAAUGAUUAAAUAAAUCAAAACUUUCAACAACGGAUCUCUUGGUUCUG